UUUACUUACGUCAAGUGUGAAAGCAUUUGGCUAUUGAGUCUAAUUUGAUGCGUUCUGCACAAAAGUUGACACGCUCCAUUCUAGAGCUUGUGCCUUUGACCUUUCAAAACUUCAUCAACUUGUAUCAAGCAACAAAUCAUCCCUCUCAAUUUCUUUAUUUUUUAUUUAUUGUUUAUUAUCCAGCUGCUUGGCCGAACAUUUGUAUAGUUUAAAUGCAAUGAGAGAAUCAAUACUAUUAUGGAUAACCAAAAAUGACGUUAUCGCAGAUGUCCAGAUUGUUUUAAGAAAACAAUUGAUGCGGAAGAUACUUUUUGGUGCGCAAAGUGUGACAGAGAGGUAUUUACAGAAAAUAGCUACAUGAUAACUAUGGAAGUUCAAGAUGAAUCUGCAAAAACUACUUUUGUUGUUAUGAACAAGCUGAUAAAUUGGUGAAAAUACCGGCUCAAGAGGUUGCACGAACAAUAAAAUAUGUUAAUGGCAGAGAAGUUUUCCACGCGAUAUAAUUUUGUGGAAGGUAAUGAAGGUUUUACAACAACCAAAGUAAUAGAGGAAAAUUCAGACAGUACAAGUGCAAUUGAAUUUAAUUUUACAAAUCAGGUAAA